AUAUAUGGUUAAGUGAAUAAGCGCACAUGGUGGAUGCCUUGGCAGUAAGAGGCGAUGAAGGACGUUGUAGCCUGCGAAAAGCAUCGGGGAGUUGGCAAACAAGCUUUGAUCCGAUGAUGUCCGAAUGGGGAAACCCAACCAGUUUACUGGUUACUUUGCACUGAAUUCAUAGGUGCAAAGAGCAAACCCGGAGAAGUGAAACAUCUCAGUACCCGGAGGAAAAGAAAUCAACCGAGAUUCCGUUAGUAGCGGCGAGCGAACGCGGAGCAGCCCAGACACAUCAACCUAUCACAUUGUAGAAGAACAAGCUGGAAAGCUUGGCCGCAGAUGGUGAUAGCCCAGUAUUUGAAAUACUGUGAUAGGGGGUGUCGAUGAGUAGGUCGGGACACGUGUAAUCCUGACUGAAGAUAGGGGGACCAUCCUCUAAGGCUAAAUACUCCUUACUGACCGAUAGUGAACCAGUACCGUGAGGGAAAGGCGAAAAGAACCCCUACUAGGGGAGUGAAAUAGAACCUGAAACCGUGUGCGUACAAGCAGUGGGAGCACCCUUGUGGUGUGACUGCGUACCUUUUGUAUAAUGGGUCAGCGACUUAUUUUCAGUGGCAAGGUUAACCGGAAAGGGGAGCCGUAGGGAAACCGAGUCUUAAUAGGGCGACUAGUCUCUGGGAAUAGACCCGAAACCAAGUGAUCUAUCCAUGGUCAGGGUGAAGGUCAGGUAACACUGAUUGGAGGCCCGAACCCACUAACGUUGAAAAGUUACGGGAUGAACUGUGGAUAGGAGUGAAAGGCUAAUCAAACUUGGUGAUAGCUGGUUCUCCUCGAAAGCUAUUGAGGUAGCGCCUCGCGUGUUUACUCUCGGGGGUAGAGCACUGUUUCGGUCUCGGGGGGCGUCAAGCCUUACCGAUCCGAUGCAAACUUCGAAUACCGAGAAGUACAGCGCGGGAGACACACGGCGGGUGAUAAGGUCCGUCGUGAAGAGGGAAACAGCCCAGACCGCCAGCUAAGGUCCCCAAAUCAUAGUUAAGUGGAAAACGUUGUGGGAAGGCGAAGACAGCUAGGAGGUUGGCUUAGAAGCAGCCACCCUUUAAAGAAAGCGUAAUAGCUCACUAGUCGAGUCGGCCUGCGCGGAAGAUUUACCGGGGCUAAAACUAUGUACCGAAGCUGCGGAUUCAAGAUUUAUCUUGAGUGGUAGAGGAGCGUUCUGUAAGUCUGUGAAGGUGAGUCGAGAGGCUUGCUGGAGAUAUCAGAAGUGCGAAUGCUGACAUGAGUAACGAUAAAGAGGGUGAGAGUCCCUCUCGCCAGAAGUCUAAGGUUUCCUGCUCAACGUAAUUCGGAGCAGGGUGAGUCGGCCCCUAAGGCGAGGCAGAAAUGCGUAGUCGAUGGGAAACAGGUUAAUAUUCCUGUACUUAUUUAUAUUGCGAUGGGGUGACGGAGAAGGCUAGGUCAGCCAGCGAUUGGUUGUGCUGGUUUAAGGCUGUAGGGAGAGUGAUUUGGUAAAUCCGGUCGCUCAAUCCUGAGAGUCGAUGACGACUGAUCUUUUAGAUCAGGAAGUGAUUGAUGCCAUGCUUCCAGGAAAAGCCUCUAAGCUUCAGAUAUAAAUGAACCGUACUAAAACCGACACAGGUAGACAGGUAGAGAAUACCAAGGCGCUUGAGAGAACUCGGGUGAAGGAACUAGGCAAAAUGGCACCGUAACUUCGGGAGAAGGUGCGCCCUCAUUAGGUGUAAGUCCUUGCGACUGAAGCCGAAGGGGGUCGAAGAUACCAGGUGGCUGAGACUGUUUAUUAAAAACACAGCACUCUGCAAACACGUAAGUGGACGUAUAGGGUGUGACGCCU
rnacentral:rRNA from 1 species